UGUCCAAUGCGGGGAUCGAACCCGGGUCGUAAUGGUCGAAAACCAAACGGUUUAACCAGCCUUCCACCGAUUAAGAC